rnacentral:tRNA from 1 species
GGAUUGUGGCUCAGCGGUAGAGUACUUGCCUAAUGAGUGCGAGGCCCUGGGUUCGAUCCUCAGCACCA